rnacentral:lncRNA from 1 species
ACAGUAGGAAUAGCUAGUGAGAGUUUUCCACGAUUCGCAGAAGGAGUACUUGCUUCCUUGUCCACUUGCAUCACACAGUCUCUAUCGUCUAAAUCGUGAGAAGCCGCACCUUUGUGGACAACUAUAGACAUUGUUUUCUCUUGACUCUUUGAUGUAUGUGUUGUCUUGUCAUCAUCGAUCUGUUGAGCUUUUUCAGCUCUGCUGUCGAAGGGGCUUUUCGUUUGCUGUGUUUCAUUAGAGGGCAGUUCCUCGGGACCUUCCACUGAAGAAUCCAUGGUAAUUGAGGAUGUGUACUUCAAAAGAAAAAAACAGAAGGUCUAAUCAAAGUGCUUAUUACUUCAACUGAUCAGAAUCUUAAGCAAAGGCCAUAUUCCAGCUGGUUGUUCAUAACUGCAGAAUUGUUCAAGAACAAUGCCAUUUUAAAUCAGUCGAGUGCCACACAGAUCCGGCUCAGAAAAAAGCCGAAAGCUUUGGGCAUUUUACAAACUAAC